UAGGGAAUCUUCCGCAAUGGACGCAAGUCUGACGGAGCAACGCCGCGUGAGUGAAGAAGGAUUUCGGUUCGUAAAACUCUGUUGUUAGAGAAGAACAGCGCAUAGAGUAACUGUUAUGCGUGUGACGGUAUCUAACCAGAAAGCCACGGCUAACUACGUGCCAGCAGCCGCGGUAAUACGUAGGUGGCAAGCGUUGUCCGGAUUUAUUGGGCGUAAAGCGAGCGCAGGCGGUCAAUUAAGUCUGAUGUGAAAGCCCCCGGCUCAACCGGGGAGGGUCAUUGGAAACUGGUUGACUUGAGUGCAGAAGAGGAGAGUGGAAUUCCAUGUGUAGCGGUGAAAUGCGUAGAUAUAUGGAGAAACACCAGUGGCGAAGGCGACUCUCUGGUCUGUAACUGACGCUGAGGCUCGAAAGCGUGGGUAGCAAACAGG
rnacentral:rRNA from 1 species